UAGCAGGUCGCCGAGCCGGCAG
rnacentral:misc_RNA from 1 species